AUGGAUGUUGACGUUAAACUAGAGGAAGAUGAGAGGGAGAUAUCCCAUACAGUAAUUUGGUCUGAUUCGAUUAAUGCCUGGAUAGAUUACCCAAAUUCAACAUUGUCAGAAAACACAGAAACAGGUUACCAUGUGGGUUUACGGAAAGAGCAUUCACAUGUACCUCCCAUCAGUCCCCAAACAACAAGCCACGGGCAGAUUGUACGUAUUUUUCCUGAAAUGACCGGAGCAAGUGAUGGGGAGAACAGGGCUGUCGAACUGGUUUAUUUCUGUAAAGAUCAAGAUACCAUCGGCACAUCUGAAGGGAAUUCAAUCAAAGAGCAGUCAUGGCAUUUAGCACCGUCCAGUGAUAUUCUGACAGGACAUGCAUCCACUUUCAGUGGUUAUUUUGAAGCUCAAAUCAACCCAACUUCACAGGUUUCUAGCCAAACACAGACCAAUAAUAAAUUGCCCUCUGACAAUGUUAAUAUCCCAAGCUCUAGUACUGCCAUUCAUUCUGUGCUAACCUCACCUGCUACAGAAAGCGACUGUCAUUUAGCUGUAUCUACUAGACCUAUUCUUCCAGAAUAUUGUGAGCCAUUGAACUUUCCCUCUGAUGAAGAGGAAGACUACAAUGCCAAUUUAAGUCCAAGACUACAAUGCCAGAAAACGUUAGAGGAUAAAUGGAUAUGUCAGUGUCGUGGCAGUUACUCAAGACCCAACCUAAGAAAGUUUGGGAGAUAUUGGAAAGAUCCAUAUGUCAAGUGCAAGGAGAUCGGUGUAGAUUUCAAUGUUGGAUCUGGAGCGAAACAGAAACUGAAUUUGCAUUUACUGACAGUUGGUGUAAUGCUUGAGGUGUCAGAAUAUGCUAGAAUCAUUAAUAGAUCUCGCCCUCAUGUUAUCUUUGAUAUUCUAGAUUACAACUUUGUUCUUGGUGUACAAAAUGAACAACAAUAUGACUUUUCAUACAGGGUAGAAAAUAAAUUAAAAGAAAUGCUGAAGAGUCGUUCUAAGAGAACACCUGAGUGGUUAACAGAAGUCUUUGACCUUCCUCAUCCAAAGACAGUUACAGUUUUGGAAUACUCCCUUAAAUGGGCACAGUUGAAUUUGCAAAACAGCUUGUCAAAUCCUACACCUUUUGACAUUUGCAUAAAGGAGGAGCCUGUUGUGGGCCUGAUCUCUCCUCUGCAUGUGACGACUGAGAGCUUCUCCACUGAGACAGAUGUGACACGGUGUGCUGAUGAGACGGCAAUCCUUGGCCCUGAAAAUGGACGUAAUGAUACCUGCACAAGGUAUGAGCCUUAUAUGGGCAUCGUCCGUCCUCAACAUGUCCAGGCGGAAACCUUCCCAACUCAGACAGAUAUAACAAUGGAUCAAUCCUUCAUGAUGCCCACUGUAGAAGAAGCAUUGAGGGAACUCUACCCAAUCUGCAAGGGAAAAGGACUUGACCUUGUUGUGAAAUCAAAAUAUGGGAAAAAUAAGAAACUUGACUUGCAUCUAUUGACCAGAGAUGUAAUGUUUGAAUUGGCUGAUUUUGCCUCACAAGUGUGUGGAAAUUGGAAGCAGGUUGUGUGUGAGGUUCUCGAGCAUAAUUUUGAUUUGGAUUUAAAAAGUGGGAAAACUGAGCUGGCCGACGAUAUUAUGGGAAGGUUAAAAGCAGUUUUACAGCGCAAGACGGGUAAACACGGUAUAUGGAGAUUGGAACUUGAAAAUGAAGCUUUCUUAAAGAAGUCACGUAAACGAAAGAACCCUGCGGAGAUGUCCACUAACCAGAAGGUCACUACAGCAUCACUUGAGCCAAAAUACCAAAUGAAUGAAGUAUCAAAAAGGAGGAGAUUGAAUUUAAUGAGCAAGAAGAAAGACAUGGACAUGUUAGUAACCAAGGAGACCGAGGGAGGCCAUUUCUCUGAAGUAGUACAAAUAGAACCUCGUCUUGUCAAAAUAGAGAGAAUCUCUGAUGAGACUGACCUGGCACUUUGUACUGACGAAACAAAGCAAAUUGUCGUUACCAACUUGGACCAAUCAAAUGUGACGUCUCACACCAAAAAUAUGGUGAAAGCCAAAGCGUGCUACCCACUCUGUGAGGAAAUAGGUCUGGACCUUGAUGUCACAUCCAAACCAUCUAAACAGAAACUGGAAUUGAAUUUACUGACAAACGGUGUAAUAUUUGAGGUGCAUAAAUAUGCAGGGAUAAAAUCCAAUCGUCAAAAAAAAAAAAGUGGGUACAUUCUCGUUGAUAUUCUAAAAUACAAUUUUGAUCUUAGUUUGCAAAAUCAGAGACGUAAUCUAUUUCCACUGCAUAUUUGCUGUAAAGUGAAACGAAUGGUUCAGAAACACAAAUCUGAGCUCAUGAGAAAAAGAGAAAUCUCAAAAGAGGUGUUCAUAAUACCGAGUGUGAUUAAAAGCCAAGCAAAAACAAAUGUGCUUUCAGAAAAAAAUAUGGAACGAAACGCAAGGCUGGUUUAUCCUCAUCAUGGUAAAGACACUAUCUCUGUGGAGACAGCUGAAACAGUCUCCACUGAUGAAGCAGCGAUGCUUGACCGGGAUAAUGGACCUGCUGAGAUCUGCAUAAAGGAGGAGGAGGAGUCAGAUCUUCACUCUGAGGUCAAACUGGUUUAUUUCUGCAAAGACCAAGAUACCGUCAGAACAUCUGAAGAGCAUUUGAUCGAAGAUGGAUCAUGGCAUGAAUCAACACCCAGUAAUAUUCUGCCUGGAAAUGUGUUCAGCCUUCCACAGGCACCACUACCAGCUGCAGAAAGUGGUCCUUUCGNNNNNNNNNNGCCUAUCAGUGGGUAUGUUUUGUCACUCUGCUUUGUUACACCACGAUCGUUUGAGUUUUAUGUUAAUUCUAGUCUGGCAACAGGUUCUCCGGUUUAA
rnacentral:lncRNA from 13 species